rnacentral:lncRNA from 1 species
AAGCCCCGUUACAACCCUUGACUUCUAAUCUUGAGUGUUGUGAAUUUCAAUUUGUGGAGUUUGAAAUUGGUAUGAGCAUAUGGUGUCACUGGUUCUCGCAUCUAAGUAGUAGCAUUCCAUUCAUGAGAUCAUAUUUAUAAACAUGUUAUUAACUCCGGAAAUUGCUUUCUUUGUUAUACAUAUAUGUGAGCAUUCGUUUUUAUUUUUACAUCAAUCUUCUCACAUAUAACUAGUGUAGGGUGUGUAGUUAGAAAAUCUGAGUGAAAAUAGAGUGCAUAUCUAGUAAGGAAUUGAGGGAAUUCUCUAAGGCAUGUUACUACAUUCAAAACAUUGUUUUAAUUGGUUAAAUGUGAACUAGUAAGUAGUGACUAUGAUUAAGUAUGUGCUUAAGUGUAAAGAUGGCUAAAAUCUGUGGGAAUGAUGAUUUUUAACAUGUCAUGUGCAUUGGAAAUCCCUGAGGCGAAAUGUUGGAAGGUUUAGGUUGUUUUACUUGUUUCAUUUCGUUUUGUUCUUUUGUUUCGUUUUGUUUUGCUCGAGGACUAGCAAAAGCUAAGUGUGGGGGAAUUUGAUAGGAGCAUAUUUAUGCGCCUUAGUUUAGCUUGUUCUUGUACAUUUAUAGUGUUUUUUUGCUUAGUAAAGUAGUCUUUUAAGCUAGUUUUAUGUGUUUUCAGGUUCUAAGGGCAAAAUAUGAAAAAGGAUGCAUUUUGGAGCCUUUUGGAGCAAUUUAGAGCUUGGAAUGGACAUCAUAUGCUUGGAGCCAAGAGGAUGGACGAAAUUGAAGAUUUGAAGAUGAUGUUUCCUACUUGAAGAAGGUUUCCUAGUCGAAGUAGGAAAGCGCCUAAGUUGAAUUAGGAUUCCUAGUUGAAUUAGGAUUCCUAGUUGAAAUAGGUUUCCUAGUGAAAUUGGGAUUCCUACAAGAUGAAGAUUCCUACUCAAACAAGGUUUCCUACUUGAAGUAGGAAAGUUAAAUCCAAAUGGCAUCAAGUUUCAAGCAACAAAGAAGUUUUCCAAGUCCAAGAAGGAAAAGGAAUCCAAGAUGAAGAAGGAGAAGAAUUCCAAGUCAAGGAGGGAUUGAGACAUGUUUUCCUAAUGCUAGAAGGACUCCUAAGUGUUGUAGAACACAAAUGAGAAGUUUCUAGAGUGUUCCCCUCCUUGCCGUGAGUUUCUACAUUUCCUAUCAGUUUUGGGGCUUUCUAGAAGCCCUAUCCCUAAUCCCUACAUUGGUGCCGCACCCCUAGCUUCUAGAUGCCCUAGUUCCUUGCCUUGCAAGGCAUUCUAGAAGGCCUAUCCAUAUCCUACAAACCUGCCGCACCUAGGACCCCUUUUCCCUUGCAAAAUCUGAUUGUUU